rnacentral:rRNA from 1 species
GUCUAUGGCCAUGCUAUCCUGAACAAGCCUGAUCCCAUCUGAUCUCGGAAGCUAAGCAGGGUUGGGCAUGGUUAGUACUUGGAUGGGAGACCACCUGGGAAGACCAGGUGCUAUAGGCA